rnacentral:rRNA from 1 species
AAUCAACGCUGGCGGCAUGCCUAACACAUGCAAGUCGAGCGAGAAAGUGUAGCAAUACAUGAGUACAGCGGCGCACGGGUGAGUAACACGUGGAUAACCUGCCUCAAAGUGGGGAACAACACCGGGAAACCGGUGCUAAUACCGCAUAUUCUGACGAGGUCUGCGGAUUUCGUCAGGAAAGGAGCAAUUCGCUAUGAGAGGGGUCCGCGGCUGAUUAGCUAGUUGGUGAGGUAAUGGCUCACCAAGGCCACGAUCAGUAGCCGGUCUGAGAGGACGGUCGGCCACACUGGAACUGAGACACGGUCCAGACUCCUACGGGAGGCAGCAGUGGGGAAUUUUUCGCAAUGGGGGCAACCCUGACGAAGCAAUGCCGCGUGGAUGAUGAAGUCUCUUGGGACGUAAAAUCCUUUCGACAGGGACGAAACCGCAAGGUUGACGGUACCUGUAGAAGAAGCCCCGGCUAACUCCGUGCCAGCCGCCGCAGUAAGAC